rnacentral:snoRNA from 1 species
CGCCUCGACGAUGAGGAACUUGUCUCCUACAUACUGGCUGGCCUAGACAUCGAGUUCAACCCCGUCGUCACUGCCGUUGCGUCUCGCGUUGAGCCGGUCUCUGUGGGCAAGUUGUUUGCUCAACUUGUCAGCUUCGUGA